AUUCACCACCACAACCACCGCAACUGCCGCCGCAGUAUGGAUCCCUUCACCCCUCUUGACUAUGGUCUGUUUCAACAGGAUUAGAACCCCUAACAACCUCCUCCUUCAAAGUCUCAAAAGCAGGAUUAGAUGAGGUGCAAGAACAGAUGAACAAACCUAUCCUUCCAUUGCUCUAUAUUAUUUCCAUCUUGGUGCUAAGUAACCUAAUUCUCACUAUUAUUAUAUUCAACCAAUGUUCUCUACUAGGGUGGGUGUUUUCUCCCCAUUUUAUUCAAUUCAAUUCACUUAAUUAAUUAAACUCUUCACUCCCACCUUUUCAUUCAAGAUUUAGCCAUUAACUCACUGUUUCAAGUUUCAACUCAAUCUAAUUACUUUCCCCCAAAUGGGUCAUCUGCUAAUCAAGAUAAAGCUUGCAUCUUUAUUGAUUUAAGGCAACUUAUUAUGGAUCUGGAACCUGGAUUUCAUUAGAUUCAUCCAAAGAAACAGUCAUGGGCAACAGUUUUGACAUUGGCUUACCAAAGUUUGGGUGUGGUUUAUGGAGAUUUGAGCACAUCGCCCUUAUAUGUGUUUAAAAGUACUUCUGCUAAAGAUAUUGUGCAUCCAGAGACUAAUGAGCGGAUGAUAAUGGUGAAGGAGGCACAUUUGCACUCUAUUCUUUCCUUUGCAGACAUGCUAGAGUGGGUUCAUUGCCUAAUUGUC
rnacentral:lncRNA from 1 species